CCUGGUCCACGCGGUCCAGCCCAGCAUCCCGGAGGUGAUAGCUGUGAUGGCGGUGAGACUGGCGGCCAGCACGAAGCCUUGACCCUUCUGCUGAAACACGCAUGCUCCUGAAGGACAAGACCUGCCACUUGGAAGAGUCUAGAAUGCCCGGGGCCUGCAGCCUGAUGCUCUGAACAGCCUUUGCACCUUGGGCGCCACCUGCCCCAUCCCAGUGCCCAUGAACUCACCGGCCCACAGCUCCCAGUACAGCUGCAGCUUGGCACUGGCCAUGUGCGCGCCCCAGGUGGUGGCCCCCUGGCAGGUGUAGGUGAGCAGGUCUGGCCUGGACUUGAGCGUGACGUUGACGCUGAAGGAGGCCGGGUCGCGGGUGUUCACCACCUUCUUGGCCACUUGAAUGUUCUGGCUCCCCCAGAGGGAGUAGGUGAUGGGCGGGGGCACACUGGGUGAGUGGCAGGUUAUCAGCACUCGCCGCCCUCGGGGGAAGACCUCCAGGACUCUGUAGGCAAUGGAGACCUCGGGGAGGACUUCUGGGAGGUGACACAGAGGGGGAGGGACGAAACCCAACAUUUAUCAAGCACGGUAAGAAAAGGCUGGUGCGACGGUUUUUCAAAAACUUAAACAAGGCAUCACCGUGACCCAGCCCUCCCAGGCCUAAAUAUUCGCCGACAGAACUGAAAACAGGGCCUGGAACAGGCGCAUGCGCGCACGUGUGCCCAGCAGCACGGCUCACAGCCGCCAGGCGGUGGCGGCUGCUUCCAGGUCCUGGUCCACCCGCGGAUGGACGCGUACACAAAGAACGGCUCAUGCGCACAAGGGCACGGCGCUUGCAGCGAAAAAGAGAGGAGGGCAGACACCCUUGCAAUCUGGAGGAACCUGGAGGACGUGAUGCUAGUGACGGGAGGCACAAAAGGUGACAUACUGUAUGAUCGAUUGCAUUGGUGUGAAAUGUCCGGAGUGGGAAAAUCCAGAGCAGAAGGCGGAGGCGGUCGGUGGGGUUGGGGGCGGGGCGGGCUGGGGAACAACUGCCGAGCUGUCCGGUUUCCUUGUGCGGCGAUGGGAGUGUUUGGACCUGCGCAGAGGGGUAGCUGCUCGGUGCUGUGAACGCACUAAACGUCGCUGAAUUAUCAGUUUAAAAUGCCCAAAUUUGUCACGUGAAUUUCGCCUCAAUUAAAAAAAAGAAAAAGAAACCAGAGGUUUUACUAUAAAGGUGAAAUGGAAUCAGACCCGGAGUAGGAAGCCUGGAGGGGCGGGGAGCACGGGUUCGGAGGGCUGACCCUGGACCCCCGUCCCGUCGGGCCUGCGCUGCCGGACCUGUGCGUCCCUCCGGCCGGUCACUGUGCCCCGGCCCAUGGUAGGAGACCAGAGAUUUACCACUUGUCACUGCACGAUUCACUUCGACGACAAGGUGGUCGCGGUCCAGGGAAUGUCCAAGACAGAGGGAAAGGGAGGAGAGAGAAACGCCGGUGGGAGAAAGAUCGCCCCUGGGACUCUCGCACACCCCAACUGGGAACGGAACUGGAAACCCAGACGUGCUCCCUGACCGGAAAUCGAACCAGCAACCUUUCACUUCCUGGGAUGACGCCCAGCCCGCUGCGCCACGCUGGUCAGGGCGGGGAGGGGCAUAUUCAUAAUGGUACGUUUUCAAGACUAGUGCAGGGGCAGCGCUUGGGCGGGGUGGAGGGAAGUGUCCUGCGUCACAGCCUCAUGCGCCCUCUGCGCCUGCUGGGCGCACUGGCUUUAGAAGCGCCCUGCGGUCAGCACGCUGCUCUCCGAGGACCGCACUGGAGCUGGAGUGCAGCGGUCUCCUGGGGCGUGUCCCUGGGACCCCACGUUUCCCAGCACUGACCC